UAGACGCUGAAGAGAGGAGCUUGCUCUUCUUGGAUGAGUUGCGAACGGGUGAGUAACGCGUAGGUAACCUGCCUUGUAGCGGGGGAUAACUAUUGGAAACGAUAGCUAAUACCGCAUAACAAUGGAUGACACAUGUCAUUUAUUUGAAAGGGGCAAUUGCUCCACUACAAGAUGGACCUGCGUUGUAUUAGCUAGUAGGUGAGGUAACGGCUCACCUAGGCGACGAUACAUAGCCGACCUGAGAGGGUGAUCGGCCACACUGGGACUGAGACACGGCCCAGACUCCUACGGGAGGCAGCAGUAGGGAAUCUUCGGCAAUGGGGGCAACCCUGACCGAGCAACGCCGCGUGAGUGAAGAAGGUUUUCGGAUCGUAAAGCUCUGUUGUAAGUCAAGAACGAGUGUGAGAGUGGAAAGUUCACACUGUGACGGUAGCUUACCAGAAAGGGACGGCUAACUACGUGCCAGCAGCCGCGGUAAUACGUAGGUCCCGAGCGUUGUCCGGAUUUAUUGGGCGUAAAGCGAGCGCAGGCGGUUUGAUAAGUCUGAAGUUAAAGGCUGUGGCUCAACCAUAGUUCGCUUUGGAAACUGUCAAACUUGAGUGCAGAAGGGGAGAGUGGAAUUCCAUGUGUAGCGGUGAAAUGCGUAGAUAUAUGGAGGAACACCGGUGGCGAAAGCGGCUCUCUGGUCUGUAACUGACGCUGAGGCUCGAAAGCGUGGGGAGCGAACAGGAUUAGAUACCCUGGUAGUCCACGCCGUAAACGAUGAGUGCUAGGUGUUGGAUCCUUUCCGGGAUUCAGUGCCGCAGCUAACGCAUUAAGCACUCCGCCUGGGGAGUACGACCGCAAGGUUGAAACUCAAAGGAAUUGACGGGGGCCCGCACAAGCGGUGGAGCAUGUGGUUUAAUUCGAAGCAACGCGAAGAACCUUACCAGGUCUUGACAUCCCGAUGCUAUUUCUAGAGAUAGAAAGUUACUUCGGUACAUCGGUGACAGGUGGUGCAUGGUUGUCGUCAGCUCGUGUCGUGAGAUGUUGGGUUAAGUCCCGCAACGAGCGCAACCCCUAUUGUUAGUUGCCAUCAUUCAGUUGGGCACUCUAGCGAGACUGCCGGUAAUAAACCGGAGGAAGGUGGGGAUGACGUCAAAUCAUCAUGCCCCUUAUGACCUGGGCUACACACGUGCUACAAUGGUUGGUACAACGAGUUGCGAGUCGGUGACGGCAAGCUAAUCUCUUAAAGCCAAUCUCAGUUCGGAUUGUAGGCUGCAACUCGCCUACAUGAAGUCGGAAUCGCUAGUAAUCGCGGAUCAGCACGCCGCGGUGAAUACGUUCCCGGGCCUUGUACACACCGCCCGUCACACCACGAGAGUUUGUAACACCCGAAGUCGGUGAGGUAACCUUUNNAGCCAGCCG
rnacentral:rRNA from 1 species